rnacentral:misc_RNA from 1 species
AACGCACAUUGCGCCCUUUGGUAUUCCGAAGGGCAUGCCUGUUCGAGCGUCAUUAUCACCCCUCAAGCCCGGCUUGCUGUUGGUGCCGGCGUGGCUUUAGGCCUCGUCCCGCCCAAAGAUAAUGACGGCGUCUGUGAGGACCCCUGUACACUGAGCUCUCGGGCACGUACACGGUUGGGAGUCCAGGCGCCGGUCGACGUCCGCAAGGACACUUUUUCUAAGGUUGACCUCGGAUCAGGUAGGGAUACCCGCUGAACUUAA